rnacentral:rRNA from 1 species
UACGUAGGGUGCAAGCGUUGUCCGGAAUUAUUGGGCGUAAAGAGCUCGUAGGCGGUUCGUCGCGUCGGCUGUGAAAUCCCGAGGCUCAACCUCGGGUCUGCAGUCGAUACGGGCGGACUGGAGUUCGGCAGGGGAGACUGGAAUUCCUGGUGUAGCGGUGAAGUGCGCAGAUAUCAGGAGGAACACCGGUGGCGAAGGCGGGUCUCUGGGCCGAUACUGACGCUGAGGAGCGAAAGCGUGGGGAGCGAACAGG